AUUGAACGCUGGCGGCAUGCUUUACACAUGCAAGUCGAACGGUAACAGGCCGCAAGGUGCUGACGAGUGGCGAACGGGUGAGUAAUGCAUCGGAACGUGCCCAGUCGUGGGGGAUAACGCAGCGAAAGCUGUGCUAAUACCGCAUACGAUCUAUGGAUGAAAGCGGGGGACCGUAAGGCCUCGCGCGAUUGGAGCGGCCGAUGUCAGAUUAGGUAGUUGGUGGGGUAAAGGCUCACCAAGCCAACGAUCUGUAGCUGGUCUGAGAGGACGACCAGCCACACUGGGACUGAGACACGGCCCAGACUCCUACGGGAGGCAGCAGUGGGGAAUUUUGGACAAUGGGCGCAAGCCUGAUCCAGCAAUGCCGCGUGCAGGAAGAAGGCCUC
rnacentral:rRNA from 1 species